CUUCCACUACGUCGAGAGGCGGGACCCGCGGUACGCGCUGGCGCCGAGCGCCUCGGCCGACCGCGCCGCCAGCCUGACCAUCGAGCGGGUCACCCCGGCAGACCAGGGCCUCUACUACUGCGCCGACAGAGACAAGGGGCGGUUUCGCAUCGGGAGAGGAGCCAGGCUCGUCUGCGUGGAGGCAGCGGCGCCGAGCGAAGGGCGAGGAGAAGCCGGCAACGCGACCCGACCCGGCGCCCCGCUUCCCCCGGGCCUGCAGCUUCCCUGCCUGCUGAUCCUGCUGACGGCUCCUCCUCUGUCUGCCCUCCUCUCCUCAGUCUGCGUCUUCUGCGUCUUCCUCAGAGGGGCAAAAUGCGGACGACAAACCUAAAAGGCAUGAG